CCCUACUGCUAUCGGGGUGGGACUAAGACAUGCGAGUUGAGCGUCUCUAAGCCAUGGUAGAGACGCAGCGUACGGCUCAGUAACACGUGGCUAACCUACCCUUAGGACGGGGACAACCCCGGGAAACUGGGACUAAUACCCGAUAGGUGAGGAGGCCUGGAAUGGUUCUUAGUCGAAAAGGCGUUGAAACCAUGCUUUUCGACGUCGCCUAAGGAUGGGGCCGCGUCCGAUCAGGUUGUUGGUGGGGUAACGGCCCACCGAGCCUUUAACCGGUACGGGCCGUGAGAGCGGGAGCCCGGAGAUGGGCACUGAGACAAGGGCCCAGGCCCUACGGGGCGCAGCAGUCGCGAAAACUCCGCAAUGCGCGAAAGCGUGACGGGGCUACCCCGAGUGCCGUCCGCUGAGGAUGGCUUUUCCCCGGUGUAAUGAGCCGGGGGAAUAAGGAGAGGGCAAGACUGGUGUCAGCCGCCGCGGUAAUACCAGCUCUCCGAGUGGUAGGGAUGAUUAUUGGGCUUAAAGCGUCCGUAGCCGGCUUAGCAAGUCUCCUGUUAAAUUCAGCGACCUAAUCGUUGAGCCGCGGGAGAUACUACUAGGCUAGGAGGCGGGAGAGGCCGACGGUAUUCUCGGGGUAGGGGUGAAAUCCUAUAAUCCCGGGAGGACCACCAGUGGCGAAGGCUGUCGGCUAGAACGCGCUCGACGGUGAGGGACGAAAGCUGGGGGAGCGAACCGGAUUAGAUACCCGGGUAGUCCCAGCCGUAAACGAUGCGGGCUAGGUGUUGGGGUGGCUACGAGCCACUUCAGUGCCGCAGGGAAGCCAUUAAGCCCGCCGCCUGGGGAGUACGGCCGCAAGGCUGAAACUUAAAGGAAUUGGCGGGGGAGCACCACAAGGCGUGAAGCUUGCGGUUC
rnacentral:rRNA from 1 species